UACAGAGGUCUCAAGCGUUGUUCGGAUUCAUUGGGCGUAAAGGGUGCGUAGGUGGCGCUGUAAGUCGGGUGUGAAAUUUCGGAGCUUAACUCCGAAACUGCAUUCGAUACUGCGGUGCUUGAGGACUGGAGAGGAGACUGGAAUUCAUGGUGUAGCAGUGAAAUGCGUAGAGAUCACGAGGAAGACCAGUGGCGAAGGCGGGUCUCUGGACAGUUCCUGACACUGAGGCACGAAGGCCAGAGGAGCAAACGGG
rnacentral:rRNA from 1 species